rnacentral:rRNA from 1 species
GUGGGGAAUCUUGCGCAAUGGGCGAAAGCCUGACGCAGCCAUGCCGCGUGAAUGAUGAAGGUCUUAGGAUUGUAAAAUUCUUUCACCGGGGACGAUAAUGACGGUACCCGGAGAAGAAGCUCCGGCUAACUUCGUGCCAGCAGCCGCGGUAAUACGAAGGGGGCUAGCGUUGCUCGGAAUUACUGGGCGUAAAGGGCGCGUAGGCGGACAGCUUAAUCAGAGGUGAAAGCCCAGGGCUCAACCUUGGAAUUGCCUUUGAUACUGGCUGUCUUGAGUUUGGGAGAGGUGAGUGGAACUCCGAGUGUAGAGGUGAAAUUCGUAGAUAUUCGGAAGAACACCAGUGGCGAAGGCGACUCACUGGCCCAAUACUGACGCUGAGGCGCGAAAGCGUGGGGAGCAAACAGGAUUAGAUACCCCAGUAGUCC